rnacentral:tRNA from 1 species
GGACUGUAGCUCAGUGGUAGAGCGCUUCCCUAGCACAUGUGAGGCCCUGGGUUCAAUCCUCAGCACCA